CCUACGGGUGACAGCAGUGAGGAAUAUUGGUCAAUGGGCGCGAGCCUGAACCAGCCAAGUCGCGUGAGGGAGGACGGCCCUACGGGUUGUAAACCUCUUUUGCCGGGGAGCAACGGGCGCCACGUGUGGCGUCACUGAGAGUACCCGGAGAAAAAGCAUCGGCUAACUCCGUGCCAGCGGCCGCGGUAAUACGGAGGAUGCGAGCGUUAUCCGGAUUUAUUGGUGUAAAAGGGUGCGUAGGCGGAUCGUUAAGUCAGUGGUCAAAUGGAGGGGCUCAACCCCUUCCCGCCAUUGAAACUGGCGUUCUUGAGUGGAAGAGAGGUAUGCGGAAUGCGUGGUGUAGCGGUGAAAUGCUUAGAUAUCACGAAGAACUCCGAUUGCGAAGGCAGCUCACUGGACUGCAACUGACACUGAGGCUCGAAAGUGUGGGUAUCAAACAGGAUUAGAUACCCGAGUAGUC
rnacentral:rRNA from 1 species